CAAAUCUAACCACACUGACAGUUCCCAGUCAGGCAGCUGCACCAGCAGGAGUGACAACCAUCUCGAUGGAAGAAAUUACUCUGAUCAUGGCUUGGGGUUCCUGAAAAAUGCUCCCAUCCUGAUAACCUAGAACUACAGAUGAUGCUGUGAGAAAGGAUGGAAAGAAGGUGGCAAAACCCACAGUAAAUGAAAAAAAUUAAACCAGCAACUAUGCACCCCAAUCUUGCCAGAAGUGGGCCAAGAAUGUCUGAAGGUGCAUGAAGGUAGGAAGAUGCAAGAAGAGCACCGAGCAGCAUGACCUCCUAAGGAGACAGUGGCCUAAUGCAAGUGUAUGUAUGUGUCAACUGAUUGUGUCAAUUUAAGCAAGAAAUGCCCAACUAAAUUGGAUCACAUAGUUCUAGAGGUAGCUGAAGGGGUUUGUUGACGACAGAAGACCCACCUGGAGUGUGAGUGACAGCAACUAAUAGGCUUGCAGCCUGAAUGAAACAGAAGGGAAAUGAGAAAGGAAGGCUCAUUUCUGUUUCUUUGUAAGAGCUCCAGUCUUCACGUCACCUUGGAUGUCAUCUCCUGGCUUCCAGCACAGACUCUUCAGCUUCCACUUCAGAUCUUUCAGCCUUCUGGUGCAGACCCUUAAGCCUUGCAUCCUAGACCCCUCAGCCUCC
rnacentral:lncRNA from 1 species